CUCUGUCAGUUUUAUAUUAUACUUUGGAUUUUAAAGUGAUUUCAGAUCAGCAGCUAAUUUUGCUUUCAUAAAUAUUAAAAUUGGGGGCUUUUGGGGUAUGAGCUUGAUCCUGCUUCUCCUUGCCACUGAACAUAUACUGGAUACAUGGAGCCCUUUCAAGCUCUCAUAGAGCUUUCUCCACAUCCUUUGUUUCACAGUGUGGCAAUCAGAUAAAUAAAGCAUGAUUGCCCUUCUGUAGACCUAUCUUGUGGAGCCUGGACUUCAUCAUCAUAUACGAGGUAUCUCGUCAGCACUGGCAUAACUUUCUAAGCAAGCAUGAAAUUGGACAAUCAAAUUGAACCAGCCUCCCAAAGUUUCUCCUAGACACAGAUAAUGGGAGCCUUCCCUGGGUUAUCCAAAGCACUGAAGCUGGAAAAUUGAAAGCCCAGGGCUGGAAGUGUGACUCAAUGAAAAAGCAUGUAAUUAGUGUGGACAAGAUCCUGGGUUGAUUCCGCAGCACCAAAACAAAGAGAAAUUAAAAAAAAAUAGCUUUCUCCUUCCCCCUCAAUAUUUAGUACUUAUGACUCAUUGAUUUUAUGUUAAUUCAUCUACAGAACCAUACAUUUUAAAUUUUUUUCUACUAUAUAUUAGCUGCUGCCACCACCACCCUCUCUUUUGCACCUCAGCUAAAAACCAAAUAAAUCACACUAAAAAUACAUAUGAUUGCCAUUGGCAAAAUUUAUGAGAUUUUAUGACUUAGUGAAUCCUACAUACAGGUUAGGAUUCCUCCGCCUAAAAUGUAUCAUUUUCAGUAUGAUCUCUGUAAAAUAUCUAUUUUUCUUCAGUGAUUUUGGACAAUAAGUUUAUUUCUCACAGUGAAUGCUUCAUUUUCAUCUAUUGUCUUCUGUUCACUUGUGAACACAAAAAGUGAUGCAUAAGACUCAUUUCUGAAAGUCAUUUAAUAUUUAGGGGCGUCUGGUUCAAUAAAUGUAAAUGAAUUAGUAUAUUCUUUAUUUUUAAAAUUUGUUUCCAAUACGAAGUAAGCACUAUAUGUUAAAUAUAAUUCUUGCCCUGAAGUAGAUUAUAUUCUAAAAACAAGAUGACAGCUAAUCAACAAAUAACCGAGAGACUUCUGUGACUUUCUUGGUUUUUUAUAUUUAUUCCUGUGAGCUGUCACUGUGCUGCUUUCCUUUCCCUUGCUAUUUUGGACCCGGCUUCCCAUCAUCCUGCAGUUUCAUGUAGCCAAUUGUGAUGGGACAUGCAUGUAUACUUCAGAUAGUUAGCAGGUUAUAUGACUGGGGAGCAAAAGAGAACACCAUUUCCUGUUCAAGGAACUUCAGUGGCAGCACAGGGAACACAGGGGUAAGAAAGGCAUCUGUCCCUUCCCUCCUUGGAGCAUGGGCCUCCCAGGUGGGGCCUCCCUGAAACUGCCCUUCCCAUGCCCAUUCAUCUCCUGCUCCAUUUUUCCUCAGCACUUAUCAUACCAUGAAUUAUCUUUUUAAUUAUGUUUAUUCAUAUUACCUCCUUUUUCUGCUAGCUCCACGAGGGCAGUUUGGGGCACAUGUUUGGGGUACUAACGUACCCAAAGCACUGAAAACAGUACCUCAAACAUUCUGGUAACUCAAACAUAUUUUUUAAAUGAGUGAAUAUGAAAAUGAUAUUAGUGGAUGAAUUGGAA